UUUCCGUAGGUGAACCUGCGGAAGGAUCAUUACAGAGUUCAUGCCCUAACGGGUAGACCUCCCACCCUUUGUUAUACAUACCUUUGUUGCUUUGGCAGGCCGCCUUCGGGCUAUCGGCUUCGGCUGGUGCGUGCCUGCCAGAGGACCCCAAACUCUGUGUUUAGUGUUGUCUGAGUCUUAUUUAAUACGUUAAAACUUUCAACAACGGAUCUCUUGGUUCUGGCAUCGAUGAAGAACGCAGC
rnacentral:misc_RNA from 1 species